rnacentral:rRNA from 1 species
GAUGAACGCUAGCGACAGGCUUAACACAUGCAAGUCGAGGGGCAGCGGGGGUGCAGGCUUGCCUGCACCUGCCGGCGACCGGCGCACGGGUGAGUAACACGUAUGGAACCUGCCCGCCACAGGGGGAUAACCCGGGGAAACCCGGCCUAAUACCCCAUGCCGCCCGGACCGGGCAUCCGGACCGGGCGAAAGGAGGAAUCCGGUGGCGGCUGGGCAUGCGGCGCAUUAGCUUGACGGCGGGGUAACGGCCCACCGUGGCGACGAUGCGUAGGGGUUCUGAGAGGAAGGCCCCCCACACUGGAACUGAGACACGGUCCAGACUCCUACGGGAGGCAGCAGUGAGGAAUAUUGGUCAAUGGGCGGAAGCCUGAACCAGCCAAGUCGCGUGAGGGAAUAAGGCCCUACGGGUCGUAAACCUCUUUUGCCGGGGAGCAAGGGCGGGGACGUGUCCCGGCCCGGAGAGUACCCGGAGAAAAAGCAUCGGCUAACUCCGUGCCAGCAGCCGCGGUAAUACGGAGGAUGCGAGCGUUAUCCGGAUUUAUUGGGUUUAAAGGGUGCGUAGGCGGGCUUUUAAGUCAGCGGUAAAAAUUCGGGGCUCAACCCCGUCCGGCCGUUGAAACUGGGGGCCUUGAGUGGGCGAGAAGAAGGCGGAAUGCGUGGUGUAGCGGUGAAAUGCAUAGAUAUCACGCAGAACCCCGAUUGCGAAGGCAGCCUUCCGGCGCCCUACUGACGCUGAGGCACGAAAGUGCGGGGAUCGAACAGGAUUAGAUACCCUGGUAGUCCGCACAGUAAACGAUGGAUGCCAGCUGUCCGGGCCGAAUGGGGCCUGGGUGGCAAAGCGAAAGCGUUAAGCAUCCCACCUGGGGAGUACGCCGGCAACGGUGAAACUCAAAGGAAUUGACGGGGGCCCGCACAAGCGGAGGAACAUGUGGUUUAAUUCGAUGAUACGCGAGGAACCUUACCCGGGCUCAAACGCGUCAGGGAUCCCCUUCGAAAGGAGGGGAGUCAGCAAUGACCUGGCGCGAGGUGCUGCAUGGUUGUCGUCAGCUCGUGCCGUGAGGUGUCGGCUUAAGUGCCAUAACGAGCGCAACCCCUACCGACAGUUGCUAACUGGUGAAGCAGAGGACUCUGUCGGGACUGCCGGCGCAAGCUGCGAGGAAGGCGGGGAUGACGUCAAAUCAGCACGGCCCUUACGUCCGGGGCGACACACGUGUUACAAUGGCAGGUACAGCGGGAAGCCACCGGGCGACCGGGCGCGGAACCCGAAAACCUGUCUCAGUUCGGAUCGGAGUCUGCAACCCGACUCCGUGAAGCUGGAUUCGCUAGUAAUCGCGCAUCAGCCACGGCGCGGUGAAUACGUUCCCGGGCCUUGUACACACCGCCCGUCAAGCCAUGGGAGCCGGGGGUGCCUGAAGUCCGUGACCGCAAGGGGCGGCCUAGGGUAAAACCGGUGACUGGGGCUAAGUCGUAACAAGGUAGCCGUACCGGAAGGUGCGGCUGGAACACCUCCUUUCUGGAGCGCCCCCGGGCGCCCUCCCCAAUAGAAAGGCGGCGUCAUGAUUCGACGGCGCGGGACGUGUCCGAUAUCUGUCGGAAUGCAGAGGGCUUCAGUCUGUACACUCUUCGCAUCUUAUUGACCGGGGGAUUAGCUCAGCUGGCUAGAGCACCUGCUUUGCAAGCAGGGGGUCAACGGUUCGAAUCCGUUAUUCUCCACCCGAAAAGGAGCACAUUGACAUGAUGGAAGCGACGACCGGUUUUCAAGCCGGUCGCUGAGAAACUCAAGAGCAACUCAAACAGAGCGAUUUCACCGCCGCCACACAAGUGGCGAGCGAGAAGAUAAGCGCGGGCGACCGCGGUAUCGAUAGAAGGUGAAAUCCGGCGAAAUAAAGUACAAGGAAAGGAGAGAAGGGCGCAUGAAGGAUGCCUAGGCUCUCGGAGGCGACGAAGGACGUGACAAGCUGCGAUAAGCCGCGCGUAGGGGCAAAUACCCGUUGAUGCGCGGAUUUCCGAAUGGGGCAACCCGCCGGGCGCGAGCCCGGCACCUGGCCGAGCCAGGGGCGAACCCGGGGAACUGAAACAUCUAAGUACCCGGAGGAAGAGAAAACAAACCAGUGAUUGCGCAAGUAGCGGCGAGCGAACGCGCAGGAGCCCAAACCGGGGGCGUCGCAAGGCGCCGUCCGGGGUUGUAGGACCGACGACAAAGCGUAGCGUGAAGGUUAGCCGAACCGUCUGGAAAGGCGGGCCGUAGCGGGUGAAAGCCCCAUAGGCGAAAACCGGGCAGCGCGCGAGUCGGCACCUGAGUAAGCCGGGACACGAGGAAUCCUGGCCGAAUCCGCGGGGACCAUCCCGUAAGGCUAAACACUACCGAGAGACCGAUAGCGAACC